rnacentral:tRNA from 1 species
AAUGUUGUGGCUGAGAGGUAAAGCGCUUGGCUUCUGAACUGGGGUCCCAGGUUCGAAUCCUGAAUUUUA